rfam:Firmicutes bacterium CAG:555 genomic scaffold, scf163
AUAUUCUGUUCGAGCGCUCCAAAGACAGCAGGUCGCUUUCAGUGUAAUUCCUGCCGAGGAUAGCAUCAAUAUCAUUGAUUGCUUACUGCCUCUGCGUCUUAGGAUGCAGGGGUUUUUCUUAUGAGCG